rnacentral:rRNA from 1 species
UACGGAGGGUGCAAGCGUUGUCCGGAAUCAUUGGGCGUAAAGAGUUCGUAGGUGGCAUACUAAGUCUGGUGUUAAAGGCAGAAGCUCAACUUCUGUAAGGCACUGGAUACUGGUGAGCUUGAAUGAGGUAGAGGUAAAGGGAAUUCCUGGUGUAGCGGUGAAAUGCGUAGAUAUCAGGAGGAACAUCGGUGGCGAAAGCGCUUUACUGGGCCAUAAUUGACACUGAGGAACGAAAGCCGGGGUAGCAAAUGGG